rnacentral:rRNA from 1 species
CUCCGCCGGGCUCCACCCCUUCCCCGCGCGCCUCCUUGCCGCCGGGCGCCGCCCCCUUCCUCGCGCGCCUCCUCGCCGCCGGGCGCUCCCCCCUCCAGAGCGCGCCUCCUCGCCGCCGGGCGCCACCCCCUUCCCCGCGCGCCUCCUCGCCGCCGGGCGCCGCCCCCUCCAGAGCGCUCCUCCUCGCCGCCGGGCGCCGCCCCCUCCAGAGCGCGCCUCCUCGCCGCCGGGCGCCGCUCCUCCUGCGCGCGCCUCCUCGCCAUCGGGCACCGCCCCCUCCUCGCGCGCCUUUUCUCCGCCAGACGCCGACCCCACCCUGCUGUCGGGCGUCAGCCGUCGGGAUCCAGCGCCCAACACCACCGUCUCCAUGUGUUGUCCUGCUGUUUCGCGCGGGAGGUGUUGGCCUCCUGCACCCGCCGGAUCCGGCCAUCCCCUUCCGUUCACCUCCGCCGCCCGAGGCCGUUCACCACCGCCACCAGUUCCCGUCCAACACCGGCCCCUCAAUCCGCGCGUCAACGACGCCCCUGUCAACCCACGCGAAGCUUCAAAAGAGGGAGUUGGAGGAGAUAAAGCAGGGGAUUGUUGAUGUGCCUCCCUGAUUGUUGCUCUCCUGUUGCUGGUGCCGAGCUCAGGGGGGUGGUCGCCGGCGGCGCCAUUCUCGACCCAGCUUCCGCCCUGCACGCAGCCAGCCUUGGAGACCACCCGCCACCACGGCCGUCGUGGCCCACCCCCUACAUCGACGGUGCUCAAGCGGCUCUUCUCACUGGCUCCUGCGACUCCCUCCUUCGCCAUGGAUACAACCAUCAUUGCAGGUGUGGAGAACCAAAAAGUUCUAAUAAUGGUGAAUCAGAAGUUCAAGUACAGUAAUCCGAGGGCGUGGGGGCAACUGCUGAUAGAGGCCGAGUCAAAGUGUCGUGACUGCUGAUGCAGAUCUUCAGCAUGGACUUUGAUGGAGAUACUCCUCUGAUGAGUCCUACUUCCAGAAGAUAGGAGUGAGAUGCGAUGGGACCUGACCAGAUGCUGAUGUUGGACUAGAAAAUUUAGUGAAAAACUAUUCUGUGCUGAAAGAACAGCUAUGCUUUGUCGGACUAGCACACCACGAGCGAUGGACUUGAAGGAUUUCAGUCAAUCAAGCUAGUUGUCGAAAAGGUAGUGUUCGCCGUCGACGGUGCUGCCAUUUGAGUUUAUGGCUCUGUCCAUGGAGGCUGCCUGGAAGUUUCUCUGUUUCCAUGUACGGUGUCGGUGUUCCAUGACAGCGGCCGUGACACGUGAUGUUCCUUGGUUAAGAUUGGUUUACUUUGGGUCUCACAUUAGGAGGACAGACACGGCGUGCAUUCAGUCUCAGAACCUGAAACUAACCUGACUGAGGCACAAGGAAGGAAGGGCCACCGUCCGAGGCGAUGCGUACAUAUAUACACCCAGGAGUCAGGACAGGACACAACAUCCGACGCGGCGUAUGUACUACACUGAGGACUCCCUCGUCACUGACAAAGACAAGAAAACCGGCAGCAUCCUCAGCCAGGUAGGUGUGAACCACACAGACGCUUACAACCAAAGCUAGCCGACGGCGCAUAAGCUACCUGCAAAAGAGAAGCCCUUCUUACAUCGACACCAUCUUAAUUUUUAUUCAGUUCAAUUUCCAAUUUUACUUCAGUUAAUUCUUAUUUUUAGUUUAGUCAGUUUCUUAUUUUAUUUUCCUUCAAUUUCUAAUUCUUUUUCAGUUCAGUUUCUAAUUUUACUAAAGUUCAUUUUCUAAUUCCAAACAGUUUGUGUAAAUUCCCAUCGAGCAGGUGUGCACGGCGAGCGGCUACUGAACUUGUGCGGCUGCUGCUUUUGGAUUGCCUAGGAAGCACAUCAUUAUAGAAGGCAAAAAUCUGUAACCUAUAUAAUUCAUGUGUGUUCUGACUUCUUGUUUCUCUAAAGCGGCCAAAUCCCGGUGCACCUGGUAGCUCAAACUUACACCAGAUGGCCAGUGACCAACUUCCCUGCCUCUACAAGCUCCUCGGGGAUGACUUGGUGGUAGCUGGGAUCCCCUAAAGCGGCCAAAUCCCGGUGCACCUGGGCGCCGCUCGUGAUCCCCUCUCCUUCAGCUCCACUUCGCGUCGUCGUCAGUCCACAGGAGUAGGGGCGGUGUGCCCAUCAACAAAAAAGAACAGAAGGUCAUCGAAGCGGCCGCCAGCUCUCCCGCGUGAUGCAGCAACUGAUGUUGUUCUCUUUCUCAUACAUGCGCGUGUGCAGCAGCAACCAUGACUCACUCACUCUCUCUCAUUUGCGCAUGCGACAUCUCACUCAUGUGUUGCAGCUCCUGGUUGGGCUCCUGGAUCGGUGUCUAUGUUGUGUGUGUGCAGUUCGACGUGAUUUGGUUGGACAGGAAGGGAGAAGCAACAGGGAGAGUACGGGUUGGCUGAUGAUGGCUGAUGACGAACCUGCUGCUGUCUUGCUCUAUAAUGGUCUCUGAUCCAAUGUAUUUUAAUUUCUCUGCGGUGUAGCUUGCUAUAAAAGAUGAAAUAUAAGAGUUCAUUGUGCAAAAACUUGUGGGAUCCAUGUAAGGUGAACGAGAAAGUAUAGUUAAAAAGUUUGAUAUUUUUUUAUUGAGGAGGUAAAUGUGGUUGGCGGCCUCUACAAACUAGUGGUUGGCUGCUCCCAUCGGUAAAUGUGAUCAGGUUCAGCAGCUAGCUCUUCCUCGAGCAACCAUUUAAAGAACUUUAUUGUGUUCUUGUGGUGUUGAUUGAUUUUAGGAUUAGUAAAUUUGAUAGCUAGCUUGCGUAUGG